GUGAGGCUGGAGAGCAGGGAUGGUGAUCACAAGGAGGGAAAGGGUCACCUGAAACUUGCAAAGGUUUAGAGACAUCUGAAAUUCCUGGGCGCACUCUGCAUCAGAGAUUGGCUGCCUGCCUCUUUUGUGGGAGGAUAUAAGAGAGAACAGAGACCUUUGCGUGAAACACUUCUGUCAGCUGAAGUCAGCGAUGAAAGUCCUAUAGAAAAGAGCCUCAGACCAAAUAAAAACUUGAUUUCCUAAGAGUGACACUGCCUGCAAAUGGAGGCAGGCUGAGGUCCUCAACUGGCCGGCGCUUUGGACGCGUUCUGCUUACUUUAGUCACACAAAAUGACGUAUUGAUGUAAGCUUCCAGGAUCUAAACAGGCAGCCCUUUCAUAGGCAAAAGCCCUAAUGAAGUCACUGGCAAGCAGCCUUGCUGGCCUAGGGCCUGCAGGCUAUUUCCCCAGUCAAUACACUGGACCUAAUCUUAUAACUCUUGAGCAUCGAACUCCAUGUGUAUUUUCCGCAAGUAUUUGUUCUCUUUCUGCAAAAGUGCAAGAUCUAUGUGCUGGGGAGAGCAGUGUCAGCGAGCAGCUGCUUUUCUUUCAGUGUGAGUUGUUUGGGAUAUAGACUACAUCUGCUACUGGUUGGGCAAAACCAAACCACAAAGCUGAGACGUGGAACAGCAAGAACCUGGACUGACAAAUAAAAAUCUCCCCUUAUGAAACCAAUCCAUUGUAACAAGAAGUCACUUAUAGAGUGAAAAUAUAAGUUCAAAGGUUAAACAUAUGAGACUCUUGCCAUUGAAGACACCAGUGUGAAAAGGUGCUCCAUUCUUAUGGAGCUCUGCUGAGGAGGUAGGAGAGGAUUUUCCUUGUGCUUACCACAGGAGUUGUGCAUAGUUUAAUUAACAUGUAUUAUCAUAUUAAGGAUUUUCUUUUUCAUAUUAAAGCCAAGUACUCCACUUGAGACUGGGGCAAUCAUGCACUCAAAUCUGUGUCACAGCCCUGCUGGCAGUCAGAGCUUCUGCAAUAACAUCGGAUGGCAGAGUCAGAGUUCAGGAAAGCAAGAAAAACAUUCUGAAGAGCUGAAAACAUCAAGCACUCAUUCAGGAUUCAUAUGUGCAAAUCUAUCUACGUUCAAUCGGCAUGCAUGAGGUGAAAAAUGUCAUCAUUUUCUUUUUCAUUUGUUUUUAUUUUUUCCC
ensembl:lncRNA